GGGUAGGGGAUUUUGAUGGAACACCGGGCUGCCUAAUGUAAAUUCUGUACAAAAAUUAUGUUAUCAACUUCUAUCCUUACAGGCAGCCCUGUGUGUCACAGCAAGGGUGCAUAAUUCAUUGUUGCACUAUGGAAUAUUGUAAUUUGUGUAGAGCAUAAAUGAAUUAUGUGCUUGGUAGAGGUGGUAUUGUCAGUUCCUAAAAGGGUUAAUUUAAAUUUUAUGGUAGGGCAGAGGGGUUACAGCCUAAAUUCCUCUUUGAAACUGGGACCCCAACAGAGCUACUUUGUAAGGUGUGAGAAGUCACACAUAAGUGACCUGGAAGUCUGGUUUAAAUAAAAAAAACUAACUCUCUAUUUUGCUAUAUGGGCAGACUAGAUGGGCCCUAGACUAGAAUGGUUCUUAUGUGCCGUCACAUUCUAGGUUUCUAAAUUUCCUCUUAGAUAUAGAAACAUAGAAUGUGACGGCAGAUAAGAACCAUUCGGCGCAUCUAGUCUGCCCAAUUUUUUAAAAUACUUUCAUUAGUCCCUGGCCUUAUCUUAUGGUUAGGAUAGCCUUAUGCCUAUCUCACGCAUGCUUAAACUCCUUUACUGUGUUAACUUCUACCACUUCAGCUGGAAGCUACCCUCUCAGUAAAGUAAUACUUCCUGAUAUUAUUUUUAAACCUUUGCCCCUCUAAUUUAAGAUACUGUCCUCUUGUUGUGGUAGUUUUUCUUCUUUUAAAUAUAGUCUCCUCCGUUACUGCAUUGAUUCCCUUUAUGUAUUUAAAUGUUUCUAUCAUAUCCCCCCCGUCUCGUCUUUCCUCCAAGCUAUACAUUUUAAGUUCCUUUAACCUUUCCUUGGAUGUUUUAUCCUGCAAUCCAUGAACCAGUUUAGUAGCCCUUCGCUGAACUUUCUCUAAAGUAUCAAUAUCCUUCUGGAGAUACGGUCUCCAGUACUGCGUACAAUACUCCAAGUGAGGCCUCACCAGUGUUCUGUACAAUGGCAUGAGCCCUUCCCUUUUUCUACUGCUAAUACCUCUCCCUAUACAACCAAGCAUUCUGCUAGCAUUUCCUGCUGCUCUAUUACAUUGUCUGCCUACCUUUAAGUCAUCAGAAAUAAUCACCCCUAAAUCCCUUUCCUCAGAUGUUGAGGUUAGGACUCUGUCAAAUAUUCUAUACUCUGCCUUUGGGUUUUUACGUCCAAGAUGCAUUAUCUUGCACUUAUCCACAUUAAAUGUCAGUUGCCACAACUCUGACCAUUUUUCUAGUUCACCUAAAUCAUUUGCCAUUUGGCUUAUCCCUCCUGGAACAUCAACCCUGUUACAUAUCUUAGUAUCAUCAGCAAAAAGACAUACCUUACCAUCAAGACCUUCUUCAAUAUCACUAAUAAAAAUAUUAAAGAGAAUGGGUUCAAGUACAGAUACCUGAGGUACCCCACUGGUGACAAGUCAGUGCUUCGAAUAUACUCCAUUGACUACAACCAUCUGUUGCCUGUCACUCAGUCACUGCCUUACCCAUUCAAUAGUGAUGUCCCAAACUGUUCGCCGAAUGGUUCGCCGCGAACGGUUCGCGCGGACUCCAGUCAGCUGACACAUUCCAGCCAAUCAGCAGCAGACCCUCCCUCCCAGACCCUCCCACCUCCUGGACAGCUCACUAAGAAUGCAGCUUCAAAAUGGAUGCUGUCCAGGAGGUGGGAGGGUCUGGGAGGGAGGAUCUGCUGCUGAUUGGCUGGAAUGUGUCAGCUGACUGGAGUCCAUGGCGAACCGUUCAGCAAACAGUUCGGGACAUCACUACCAUUCAACAAUAUUGGAAUCCAAACUUAAAGGGACUCUUCAGUGCCAGGAAAACAAACAGUUUUCCUGGUACUGCAGGUCCCCUCUCCCUCCUACCCCCCAUCCCAUGUUGCUGAAUGGGUUAAAACCACUUCAGUGACUUACCUGUAUCCAGCGCCGAUGUCCCUCGGUGUUGGGUCACGGUCUGCCCACGCUCCCAGCGGGGAGAUCUAUUGAGCAUGCGCGGCCGCGGCGGGGGAGACCUAAUACGCAUGCGCAGCAAUGCCGCGCACGCGCAUUAGACCUCCCCAUAGGAAAGCAUUGAAAAAUGCUUUCCUAUGGGGAUUUCAGUGACACUGGAGGUCCUCACAUAGCGUGAGGACGUCCAGUGACGUUAUAGCACACUUUUCAUGUGCUAUAAACACGGAAGUGCCCUUUAGUGGCUGUCUACUAGACAGCCACUAGAGGAGGAGUUAAGAACAGAAGAAAGGGAUCAGCGCUCUCUAUCUAUACAAAAUACAACAGAAACAAUAAUAAAUAAGUAAAAAGUGGCAGCACACCUAAAAAGUAGGGCUCCCUCACAGGCCUUACAACAGAAAUGGUACAGAAAAAAGAAAGGAAGGCAGCGCCACUAUAAACCACAUAAAUUAAAAGAGCACAGAAUAGGCAGACUAGAAUACAAUAUAUAUGAUAGAUACUAAGCAAAAUAGAAGUCCAGAAUAAAUAGUCUGACUGGUAGAUGAAUCAAACAACGAGGUAUAUCCUUGUAGAGGUGAAUACAGUCUUUUGUAGUGGGGGAUUCUUCAGAGUGGUGUAGAUGCGUCUUUGUACAUCAUAUGAAAUGAGAAAAUAACAACUGAUGGUAUAGUAUGUCCCGAAGGGGGUAGAAGCAAUAAAAGAGUAUAUGGUCCUACUCACGUUUUCAAGAGCUAUGGACUUAGCUCUAGUGUUGAUAACGUACAGUGGUAUAAUCCCCACUUAUGGGAUACGUGAGGUCUUAGUAUUCUUUCUUGAUUAGGGGACCAUAUGUGGAAAUAAAAGCAGGAACAACAAUGGUGCUCAAAGUAUAAAAUGCCAGAGGUGAGAAGAUAAAAAACCAAGUGGUUACUCACAUUUAGUUGAACAGACUGACUGUUCAAUGAAUACAGCUUGAGUGGUAUAAUCCCCACCUAGGAUUCUUGGGAGUAAUAUCCUCACUGGAAAGUAAAAACACUCUGUGCCGGAUAAAAGGAUGGUAGUAAUAAAAAAGUAAAAUAAUAAUAGUAAUAAAAAGUAAGAUGGCUAACUCACAGUAAGAAAGUGGCCAAAAUACCUUUAUUUAAAACAAUAUAGUUUAAAAAACCACAACGCGUUUCGCCCUUAGGCUUUAUCAAGUGGAGAUCAGAAAGUACAUCCUGUUACAUACAGGUUUAUAUAGGCAGUGAACAUAUUAGAAAAUGGCGCCAAAAUGAUGUCAUAAUUUUUUUUUUUCUCAAAAGUGCUACAUUUUAUAUGUGUAAGUGAGUACAUACCUAUAUGUAAAACAUGUGAUAGUUUAAAAUUAAAAACGAGGUUUUAAACUCACAAUACCUUACAUAUUCUAUUUAGAUACAACAGUCACAUGAUCGGUGGCCAUUUUUUUUUUUUUUUAAAGUGCUAAACUUUAUAUGUAUCAGUGAAUACAAACCUAUAUUGGAGACAUGUGAUAGUCUAAAAUUUAAAUUAAAAACAAGGUUUUAUACUCACAAUACCUUGCAUAUUAUUUAAAUAGAACAGUCACGUAUAUAAGUCACAUUGUAUAAAUAUGUACUUCAUGCACAAAAUAAUUAUAAAAGAUAAUAAAAUAUAAGAAAUAUAUUAUAAAAUAUUAAUUAUAAAAAUUAUAAAAAAUUAAACAGGUCGAACUCUACAUUAAGACCUUCGGGGGUAAGGGUUUUUAAAAGGAACACCCAGUGCAUUUCUUUUUGUCCCAGUAAUUUUUUGAGGUCACCUCCCCUCCAGGGUAAUUUACAUCUUUGGAUCCCAGUACAUUUUAAAAAUUUAGGGUCUUUGUUGUGUUGGAUAAAAUGCUUUGAAACAGAGUGAUUAGGGUAGCCUUUGAUAAUAUUUCUACAAUGUUCUGCUAACCUUAUUUUUAAGCAUCGUGUGGUCAUACCCACAUACUGGAGGCCACAUGGGCACUCCAAUAGGUAUACAACAUUCUUAGUAGUGCAACAUAUUAAGUCUUUAAUAGGGUAUGUAAUACCGGUUUUGUUUGAGGUGAAUUGUGUUGUCUUUGAUGUGCUGUUUUGGUCAGUGGAUCUGCAGACAAUGCAUCUGUUGCAUUUGAAAAAACCUUUAGAAUUUGAUAAAAAUGAUGGAUUGCUUGUAUUGGCUUUUUUUGUAUAAUUUUUAGUAAGCAUUGUCUUUAGGUUUGGGGCCCCUCUAAAAAUGAUAUGGGGUUUAUCUGGGAUGAGUGUCUUUAAAAUUUCAUCUUGUUUUAGAAUGUGCCAGUGUUUUUGAAUAGUUUUUUUCACAAUUUUAUUCUUAUUGUCAAAGUUAAAGAUGAUCGGUAUGGAUGGUGGGUCUUUAUUUUUAUUCGUAUUAUAUUCUAAAAGCUCGAGUCUUUCUUUUUGUUUCACUGCUUUGAGGGAUUCUUCUAGCUUUUCUUUGGGGUAAUUUUUGCUGAUAAAUUGAGCUUCUAGUGUUCUAGCUUGUUCGUCAAAAUCUGUAUUAAGGGAACAGUUCCUGCGAAGACGUAGGAACUGACCUUUAGGGACCCCAUCUAACCAUGGUUGGUAGUGGCAGCUUGAUCUGUCAAUGACUGUGUUGGUGCACACUUUUUUAAAAAAAGUUCUAGUGUUAAUAUUCCCAUCCUGGAUAAAAAUUUGGAUGUCUAAAAAAUUUAUUAAAUCUUUGCUGUGUUCUGAUGUUAAAAUGAUGCCACUAUUGUUGUUGUUUAGAUGAUUUAAAAAAAGUUUAAGUGAGGUUUCAGGACCUUUCCAGAUAAAAAACAAAUCGUCUAUGUAUCUAAAAUAGGAUACUAGGUUUGCUUUCCAGGGGUGAUCUCCCCAGAUUGCUUUAGACUCCCAAUUGUCCAUAAAAAGAUUGGCAUAACUUGGUGCAAACCUAGUACCCAUAGCUGUGCCUUGUCUUUGAAUGUAAAAAGUGUCUAAAAACCAAAAAUAGUUAUUUGUUAAAAUCAUUUUUAUCCCUUCUAAGAUAAAAUUAAUUUGUUUUUCUGGAAUUUUAUUAUCCGUUUUUAAUCUAUUUAAAACUGCUUCACACCCUAAUUCGUGGGGGAUUAUGGUGUACAAAGACUGGACAUCACAAGUGACUAGAAUAAAAUCUGGAUGCCAGGUAAAAUGUUCUAAAAAACGUAAGAGAGACAUGGAAUCUUUUAAGUAUGACCUCAUAAGUCUGACUGAUGGUUGUAAUAAAAUGUCAAUAUACUCUGAUAAGUUUGAUAAAACAGAAUUGAUCCCGGAGACAAUAGGUCUACCUGGUGGAUUGGUCUCAUUCUUGUGUAUCUUUGGUAAAAAGUAUAUGACUGGAAUUUUUGGAUGAGGUAUAUUUAAAUAAGCAAAUUCUUUUUUGUUGAGGAUAUUGGAAUUUAAGCCUUUGGUUAAAAAUGAUAUAAGGGAGUUUUGGAUGGUAUGGGUUGGGUCUGAUAGUAGCUUGUCAUAUACUUUGGGGUCAUUAAGCUGUCUAAAUGCUUCUUUGAUGUACAUUUCUUGUGAGAGUAUAACUAGGCCGCCCCCUUUAUCGGCUGGUUUGAUGACUAUUGUGUCAUCUUUUUUAAGAUCUGUGAGAGCUUUCCUUUCUUGAAAGGUUAAGUUAUAUUGGUUAUAUUUAUGAUAUUUGUGGUUGUUUUUUUUGGAGGUAUUAAUUUUUUCUAAGUCUUGCUUUACCAAAUUCUCAAAAACUUCUAUCGGGCCAGAUUUGAAACUUGAUGGGUAAAAAUUAGAGUUAUUCUUAAGGGUGGUGUUUUUCACUGGUAUCUCGUCAUUAAUACAUGGAGGUGUGGGGGAAUAGUUGGUCUGUCCCUGGUUAAUAGAUUGAUUCUCAAUUCUGCUGCUAAAAAAUCUUUUUAGUGUAGCUUUCCUAACAAACUUAUUUAAAUCUAAAAAGGCUUGGAAUGGUUGAUAGGGAUUGGUAGGUGCAAAUUUGAGGCCCUUAGUUAAAACCGAUAUUUGGGUAGUAGUUAAAAUUUUAUGGGAAAGGUUAAAAGCUAGAAAAAUCCCUCAAAGCAGUGAAACAAAAAGAAAGACUCAAGCUUUUAGAAUAUAAUACGAAUAAAAAUAAAGACCCACCAUCCAUACCGAUCAUCUUUAACUUUGACAAUAAGAAUAAAAUUGUGAAAAAAACUAUUCAAAAACACUGGCACAUUCUAAAACAAGAUGAAAUUUUAAAGACACUCAUCCCAGAUAAACCCCAUAUCAUUUUUAGAGGGGCCCCAAACCUAAAGACAAUGCUUACUAAAAAUUAUACAAAAAAAGCCAAUACAAGCAAUCCAUCAUUUUUAUCAAAUUCUAAAGGUUUUUUCAAAUGCAACAGAUGCAUUGUCUGCAGAUCCACUGACCAAAACAGCACAUCAAAGACAACACAAUUCACCUCAAACAAAACCGGUAUUACAUACCCUAUUAAAGACUUAAUAUGUUGCACUACUAAGAAUGUUGUAUACCUAUUGGAGUGCCCAUGUGGCCUCCAGUAUGUGGGUAUGACCACACGAUGCUUAAAAAUAAGGUUAGCAGAACAUUGUAGAAAUAUUAUCAAAAAAAGGCUACCCUAAUCACUCUGUUUCAAAGCAUUUUAUCCAACACAACAAAGACCCUAAAUUUUUAAAAUGUACUGGGAUCCAAAGAUGUAAAUUACCCUGGAGGGGAGGUGACCUCAAAAAAUUACUGGGACAAAAAGAAAUGCACUGGGUGUUCCUUUUAAAAACCCUUACCCCGAAGGUCUUAAUGUAGAGUUCGACCUGUUUAAUUUUUUAUAAUUUUUUAUAAUUUUUAUAAUUAAUUUUUUAUAAUAUAUUUCUUAUAUUUUAUUAUCUUUUAUAAUUAUUUUGUGCAUGAAGUACAUAUUUAUACAAUGUGACUUAUAUACGUGACUGUUCUAUUUAAAUAAUAUGCAAGGUAUUGUGAGUAUAAAACCUUGUUUUUAAUUUAAAUUUUAGACUAUCACAUGUCUCCAAUAUAGGUUUGUAUUCACUGAUACAUAUAAAGUUUAGCACUUUUGAAAAAAAAAAAAAAAUGGCCACCGAUCAUGUGACUGUUGUAUCUAAAUAGAAUAUGUAAGGUAUUGUGAGUUUAAAACCUCGUUUUUAAUUUUAAACUAUCACAUGUUUUACAUAUAGGUAUGUACUCACUUACACAUAUAAAAUUUAGCACUUUUGAGAAAAAAAAAAAAAAAAAAAUUAUGACAUCAUUUUGGCGCCAUUUUCUAAUAUGUUCACUGCCUAUAUAAACCUGUAUGUAACAGGAUGUACUUUCUGAUCUCCACUUGAUAAAGCCUAAGGGCGAAACGCGUUGUGGUUUUUUAAACUAUAUUGUUUUAAAUAAAGGUAUUUUGGCCACUUUCUUACUGUGAGUUAGCCAUCUUACUUUUUAUUACUAUUAUUAUUUUACUUUUUUAUUACUACCAUCCUUUUAUCCGGCACAGAAGUGUUUUUACUUUCCAGUGAGGAUAUUACUCCCAAGAAUCCUAGGUGGGGAUUAUACCACUCAAGCUGUAUUCAUUGAACAGUCAGUCUGUUCAACUAAAUGUGAGUAACCACUUGGUUUUUAUCUUCUCACCUCUGGCAUUUUAUACUUUGAGCACCAUUGUUGUUCCUGCUUUUAUUUCCACAUAUGGUCCCCUAAUCAAGAAAGAAUACUAAGACCUCACGUAUCCCAUAAGUGGGGAUUAUACCACUGUACGUUAUCAACACUAGAGCUAAGUCCAUAGCUCUUGAAAACGUGAGUAGGACCAUAUACUCUUUUAUUGCUUCUACCCCUUUCGGGACAUACUAUACCAUCAGUUGUUAUUUUCUCAUUUCAUAUGAUGUACAAAGACGCAUCUACACCACUCUGAAGAAUCCCCCACUACAAAAGACUGUAUUCACCUCUACAAGGAUAUACCUCGUUGUUUGAUUCAUCUACCAGUCAGACUAUUUAUUCUGGACUUCUAUUUUGCUUAGUAUCUAUCAUAUAUAUUGUAUUCUAGUCUGCCUAUUCUGUGCUCUUUUAAUUUAUGUGGUUUAUAGUGGCGCUGCCUUCCUUUCUUUUUUCUGUAGAGGAGGAGUUAACCCUGCAAGGUAAAUAUUGCAGUUUAUGAAAACUGCAAUAAUUAUACUUGCAGGGUUAAGGGUAGUGGGAGUUGGCACCCAGACCACUCCAAUGGGCAGAAGUGGUCUGGGUGCCUGGAGUGUCCCUUUAACCCCUUAAGGACCAAACUUCUAGAAUAAAAGGGAAUCAUGACAUGUCCUUAAGGGGUUAAAGAUUGCAGUUUAUUGAUCAGCCUUCUAUGUGCAACAGUGUCAAAAGCCCUACUGAAAUCUAGGUAAUCAAUGUCUAAUGCACCACCCUGAUCUAUUAUUUUAGUUGCCCAAUCAAAAAAAUCAGUAAGAUUAGUUUGGCAUGAUCUCCCUGAAGCAAACCCAUGUUGUCUCUGAUCUUGAAAUCCAUGUGUUUUUAAAUGUCUAACAAUCCUAUCCUUUAACAUGCUUUCCAUUACUUUCCCCACUACUGAAGUAAGACGUACUUGGCUAUAGUUGCACGACUCCUCCCUACUACCUUUCUUGAUUGGUUAAAUUAAUCUGUUAAUGUUUUUUUUUUAGUACACCACAAACUCUUUUAAUAACUUUGGGUGUAUUCCAUCAGGCCCCAUUGACUUAUGUGUCUUUACUUUGGACAGUUGAACUAGAACUUCUUCCUCUGUAAACUCACAUGUAACAAAUGACUCAUUUGUACUUUUUCCUAACUGAGGCCCCUUUCCUUCAUUUUCAUCUGUAAAUACUGAACAAAAAUAUUUAUUGAGGCAGUCAGCUAGACCUUUAUCCUCUUCUAAAUACCUUCCUUCUUUUGAUUUUAAUUUAACUAAUCCUUGUUUUACUUUCCUUUUCUCAUUUAUGUAUCUAAAAAAUGUUUUGUCCCCUUGUAACGGAUCACCUGGCACCCAGACUGGGUACCUCCGUUGAAGGAUGCUCCUAGCACUUCCUGAGGACUCCAGGCACUGCAGCAGACACCACAACCACCGAGCCGGAGAAGCAUACGAAUGCUCUCAAGCAUAUUAAUGCUGUAAGCAGCUGAACAGGAAAAGCAUACAAUCAGCUUACACUCCUGGCAAACAGCAUACAAUCCAAUUCCCCCAAUAACGAGACGACACUUCGUUUUGAGGUCAAGCAGAACUGCCUGUACUGGCACAUACAGCCUCUUUUAUUCACAAACCACAAACGUAUUACUGCCCACAGGGUUUUGAAAUACAACCAAUCAAUCCGUACAAUACACACAGACACUCCCACACAAAAUCCUCCCCUCUGCCUGUGAUAUGAUUACUGAACACAAUGGUUAAUAUAAUUAUCACAGGCAAAGAAAGACCGUAUUAUAAAACAUAUCACAGGGACCCCAAAACAUGCAAUAACCCCAUAAAAGUAUCUGGGUGAACGACAUAUCCAAAAUUCACCCAGAUCUGUUCAGUAGUUUGGAAGAUACCGUUUAAUGCAGAUUCCGCAGAACAUAUACAGGCUAUAUGAAAAAUAAUUGGUGUAUAAUGUGUCCCCUGUUGUAUAGUUUAAAACUACUGCACAAUGUCUUUGUGCACCAAAUACAGGCGAGAUGGCACCGUGUAGAAAAGUCCAAACAGUGUCUGUGAGUUAAAAUGGCCGCCAUCCAUUGUUCUCACCAUGUGCCUCUGAUACAUGAAAUGGUGGCCACCCAGUGACUCCACAGUAUGUCCCCAGAUGGUUCUUAAAGGGCCAGCAGCAGCACAACACAUCCAUUAUGCCCAAAUCAUGUCUUUAAAGGGCAAUACAUCCCAGGGGCCAUAGUCACAUGGCUGGAGGCUGGCAAUCAGUCUUCUCCAAUGCCCAGUGGCGAGGUCGGUUUCGCCACAUUUCUCCCCUUUCCCAAAAAGACUAACAGGGUAUCUGACCUCCUGUCGGUCAGUGCCUUGGUUAGUCCAGCAACCCACCCAUAAAACAUAAUCAACAGAGUGGCCCACCCAAAAGAAUUGGUUACUGCACCUGGGGUAGUGGGUAGCUUGUCCAUAUCCAGGGGCUCCACCACGGCUCAGGGGGGUACUAGCCUUCCGGAUCAGUGGGUUGCUGAGUGGGCAGAGACCAGCGGUACUCUGCCCUGGUACCAGCGCUACCACGGGAGUAGCCUGGUUGGAGCCCAGCUGAUGAGAAGGGUUAGUAGGCUCCUCCCGCUGGACCUGGUGUUGCUGCUGGAGGGGAAGAUAGGCUGUCUCCCCUUUGGAUAUACAGCCCUGCUGCUGGGGGACAGGACCGAACGUCCCUACCCCCUGUGGUUUGGGCACAGAGACCACGGUCCCAUCUGCAACGGUGUGGGGCUUAUCUCCCUUUGGUGGGCUAGGCUGCCGCUGGGGAGGGGGAACGAGACUCUCCCCUCCCGGUAGAAUUCUCUGCCGCUGGGGAGCAGGACCGACUGUUAGUACUCCCUGUAGCUUGGGCGCAGAGACCACGGUCCCAUCUGCGCUGGUGGGGGGCUUAGUGUCUCCCCUUGGUGGGUUACGCUGCCGCUGGGGAUAGGGGGUAACAAGCUCCCUCUCCCUUACACACUUUCAGCUGCUGGGGAGAGGGGGUAACAGGCUCCUCUCCCUGACACACUCUCUGCUGGUGGAGAGGGGGACCGACUGUCUCCCCUUUCAAUAUAUUGUCCUUGUGGCAAACCUAGCCACUUUAGGUCAUAUUGCAGAACAUUUAAAGGUUGUCUGAAAUAGCUGUGUUAACCUGCUGUAAAAAUGUAUUUGUGUGUUUUAGAAUAGAGAGCCUUCUUUUCCAGCGCUUUACUUUGGAUUACCUUCUAUACCAGCAGAGAUCUUGGGAUUUAAUAUUGCAGCUCCGCUACAAUUGGUGGCAAGUGACGGGAUCCAACCUUACAGCCGAAAAGCGGUGUUCGGGUAAUUGAAACUACCGAACAGGAAAGUGAAUGACAAUUCGGAUACAACAAAGAACCAAACACAGAGGUGAAUGGAGACAGACAACAUUGUAUUGAAACGGCAGACGUUAAAGGAACUAUUGGAAGCCAGGGGUAAGAUAGCCAGCAAUAAGCCAAAAGCUGUGCUGAUUGCUGAAUUGAUGGAGGGAGACAGAGCUCGCAGCAUUACACCCCAGCAGCCAUGGAAGAAACCCCCUUUAAAAGGAAAUGAGGACCAGGAUGGAAUUUUUACCCCAGCCAGUAUCCCUGGAAAUACUGACAGUACUGAUGGCGGAUGUGGAGUAUGUGAUGGCACACGGACCGCAGGAUGCUCCUCCCAGAGCAGAGUCUAUUGCUGCUUCAGUCGUCAGCCAGGUAAAGCCUAAGAUCCCAUGCUAUGCGUUUAUGUUCUGUGAAGAGAAAGAUGAGAUUGAUAGGUAUCUACAAGACUUUGAGAGGCUAUGUGACUUGCAUGAUUUGGAGCAGGCAGUGUGGGUACCUUUACUGGCAUGCAAACUAUCAGGUCGGGCAGCCGAAGCCUAUCUGGCUGUAGCCAGGGAGGACAGUAAAGAUUAUGCCCGGGUAAAACAGGCUAUACUGGAAAGAUACGCCAUUACCCCAGAGGCAUACCGGUGCAAGUUUCGAGGGUUGCGCAAACCAGAGAAAGAUUCCCGCAGAGUGGGCCCACAAACUGGACCAAGCCUCCCAGGGGUGGAUACAAGCCAGUCAAGCAACCACCUUGGAGGAGUUACGGCAAUUGCUCCUCUUAGAACAGUUUUUCAAUGGCCUGUCCCCAAGAGGCACAGGAAUGGGUGAGAGAUAGAAAACCCCUCACCAUAACAGAAGCUGCAAGACUAGCAGACCAGUACUAUGACGCCAGGAGGCAUCACGGUAACCUCAACCGAGGGUAUCCUCGACCCACCGCUCAACCUCCUACAGCUACCCCUACUGCACCUACAGCAAACCCAUUCUGGCCAACCCUGGGGGGGCACACUCCACCAUCCAGGUAUAAUGGCAGAGCGAAUAUACAGUGCCAAAUGUGCAAACAAUGGGGCCACAUGGCGAGAGAGUGUACCUAGAACCGGAGCCGCCAAGCAUGGAGCCAGGUACAGCAGAAUCCAGCACCUAGAGCAGCCGCCCACCACUGCCAAGCGGACCCAGCAACCCAGGAGAUACUUUUUAAUCAGACCGAAGAGCCCCUGGGGAUACUACAUGAUGUGAUGUCGGUACAAGCCACAGACAACAGGCAACACCAUCGCCAGCUAGUAACCCUGGAAGGGAAAGAGGUCCAAGUGCUCCGAGAUUCGGGAGCCACUCUGACUCUGGUAGUCCCUCAUUUGGUUCCAGGCUCCGCACACACCGGCGGAUCUGUAGCAGUGCGAGUAGCAGGGGGAUCGAUAUACAGAUUACCCACCGUAAAAGUACAUUUGAAUUGUGGUGUUGGGGAGGGCAUGGUAGAGGUGGGCCUGAUGCAGAAACUGCCAGCGGAUGUCGUAUUGGGAAACUACCUGGGUCGAAUGACUUCUGCCUUUAUUACUCAAGCUCCACUCCAAGAGGCUCACCCAGUAACCACCAGACAACAGGCUCGCACACUCUGAGGCUCUGGUAAAAGACAGGGACCCUCCUACGACCCGUUUUACCUGGGAUACCCCGACUGCAUUUGAGGCUGAGGUUCAGAUAGACCCCACGUUAAAAGUAUUCAGGGAUAGGGUGAUCUCCAACCAGGCCGGAUUAGAGGGAGAACGGUAUACCUGGGAAAAGGGGUUACUGUAUUGCAUUUCUGAAAGGGUAGUGGGGGGAUCUGUGAAUGUGACUACUAGACAGCUAGUGGUCCCCCAGAAAUAUAGACAGGAACUUCUUCGGAUCGCUUACGACAUUCCCUUGUCUGGGCAUCUGUGGAUGACUCGCGCCCGAUACUGCUUGACCCACGCCUUUUUCUGGCCGAGUAUAUCCAAGGACGUGCGGCAGUACUGCCAGGCAUGUGACAUCUGUCAGCGAGUAGGCAAGAGGGGUGACCGCCACAAGGCCAAAUUAUGCCCACUGCCCAUCAUAGAUGAACCAUUUAGUAGAGUGGCCGUAGAUAUAGUAGGGCCCUUACCAAAACCCAGUCCCUCCGGCGAGAGAUAUAUCUUGACCAUAGUAGACUACGCCACCCGGUACCCCGAAGCAGUAGACCUCUCUAAUAUCCACGCCGAGACAGUGGCCGAGGCCUUAAUGAAAGUAUUCUCCCAAGUGGGAUUCCCCCAGGAGAUCAUAUCGGAUAGGGGUAUGCAGUUCACGGCCGAGGUGACCCACCAACUAUGGAGAAUAUGUGGCAUUAAACCUAUCGUGUACUCUGCAUACCACCCGCAGUCUAAUGGGUUAUGUGAAAGGUUUAAUGGGACGUUAAAGCAGAUGCUCCGUACCUUUGGAGAGGCCUAUAAGGACUGGGAGCGAUUCCUACCCCAUCUGCUAUUCGCUUACAGAAAGGUACCCCAAGAGUCCAUGGGCUUUUCUCCUUUUGAACUACUGUUUGGGAGAAGGGAGCAAGGACCUUUAGAUUUAAUUAGGGAGCACUGGGAGGGGGAAAAGUAGUACAGAUGGGACACCCAUUGUACCAUAUGUGCUGGAGCUCAGGGACCGCUUGGAGGCACUAACCCAGACCGUACGGACCAACCUCCAGGUGGCCCAACAACGCCAGCGCCGCUGGUAUGAUAGGGGAGCCAGAGACCGCAGCUUUCACGUGGGACAGAAAGUUUUGAUUUUAAAACCUGUUCGCAAUGACAAGCUGCAGGCCAUCUGGCAAGGCCCAUACCAGGUGGUGGAACAGAGAUGUGACACCACCUAUGUGAUUGGCCCCUGCUCAGGGACAGGGAAGAGACGCAUGCUCCACGUGAAUAUGCUCAAACCCUACCAUCAGAGGAUAGAGGACGUGGCGGCUGUAUGAGCUUCAGCCUCUGAGGAUCAGGAGAAUCUUCCGCUACCUGACUUAUUAGAGCGGGAAGAUCAGGCAGAGUCCUCCACAGGUGUUCAGCUGGGGGAGCGGCUAAGUCCUCAGGAGCGUGCCCAGGUAUAGGAGUUAAUCGCGGCUAAGGGAGCCACUUUCUCCAAUUUACCAGGGUACAUCCUGCUAGCUACUCACAGAGUUGAGACCCCCGGACAGCUACCUAUGUGGCAGACCCCAUACCAUAUCCCGGAAGCAUUCAGGGAACAUAUGAGGAAGGAAAUUGAGGAAAUGUUGCAGCUAGGGGUUAUUGAACAUUCCGAUAGCCCCUGGGCAUCGCCGGUAGUGCUGGUACCCAAGAAGGACGGCACAACACGCUUUUGUGUAGACUACCGGAGGCUAAAUGACAAAACAGUGUCUGAUGCCUACCCGAUGUCCCGGAUAGAUGAGCUGCUAGACAAAAUGGCACGAGGCCUGUACCUUACUACAAUAGAUUUAUGCAAAGGGUACUGGCAGAUUCCACUAGCCGAGGAUGCCAUCCCCAAGUCGGCGUUUGUCACCCCGUUUGGCUUGUAUCCAUUUCGCGUCAUGCCAUUCGGGAUGAAAAACUCUCCGGCUACCUUUCAACGGAUGGUGGAUCGGCUACUGGAUGGGUUUCAGGAGUAUGCAUGUGCAUACCUGGAUGAUAUCGCCAUCUAUAGCCAGACCUGGUCAGACCACCUGCGACAUAUUGGAGCAGUCAUUGACCGUAUCGGAGAGGCAGGGUUGACGCUAAAGCCCAACAAGUGUCACAUAGGGAUGGCAGAGGUACAGUACCUGGGGCACCGGGUAGGGAGUGGACAGCAAAAGCCUGAACCAGCAAAAAUUGAAGUAGUAGCUAAGUGGCCUACCCCCCAGGCAAAAACCCAAGUGCUAGCCUUCCUGGGUACUGCAGGGUACUACUGAAAACUCGUACCCAAUUAUAGUGCCCUGGCCAAACAUCUGACUGACUUGACCCACAAAAACCUUCCUCGACAGGUCAUCUGGGCCCCAGAGUGUGAUCAGGCGUUCCAACAACUCAAGACUGCUUUAACCAAUGCACCUGUACUUGCUGCUCCUGAUCCAACUAAACGAUUUCUUGUCCACACAGACGCUUCAAUGUUUGGAUUGGGAGCAGUGCUGAGCCAAGUUGGAGCAGAUGGCGGAGAACAUCUCGUGGCUUACUUAAGCCAAAAGUUAUUACCCCGUGAAGUGAGCUACGCCGCCAUUGAGAAAGAAUGCCUGGCCGUGGUGUGGGCCCUCAAAAAGUUGCAGCCUUAUUUAUAUGGACAACCUUUUUCCUUACUCACAGAUCACAACCCGUUGAUGUGGCUUAACCGUGUGGCGGGGGACAAUGCCAGGCUGCUGCGCUGGAGUUUGGCGCUGCAGCCUUUUGACUUCACUAUUCAUUACCGCCCAGGAAAGCAAAACGGUAACGCCGACGGGUUAUCUAGACAGACUGACCUUGAGAAGUGAUCUGUGAGUACUCCUCCGGACAUCCCCAAGCCGAUCCGUUGGGAUCAGACUGUGUAUGCCGGCUUGGUUCUGGGGGAGCAUUGUGGCAAACCUAGCCACUUUAGGUCAUAUUGCAGAACAUUUAAAGGUUGUCUGAAAUAGCUGUGUUAACCUGGUGUAAAAAUGUAUUUGUGUGUUUUAGAAUAGAGAGCAUGCAUAGGCUAACAGCCGUGAAUAAAAUUGUCAGUUGACUCCUGGAGCCGUGAAUAAAAUUGUCAGUUGACUCCCUGAACUGUGUUUUGUCCGGUUACUGGGGGAUUUAGGAUAUUGCCUUCUUUUCCAGCGCUUUACUUUGGAUUACCUUCUAUACCAGCGGAGAUCUCGAGAUUUAAUAUUGCAGCUCCGCUACAUUCCUGCUGCUGGGAAGCAAGGCAGACUCUCUCAUCUGCCCCAUCUGGGAGAAUAAGCUGUCGCUGGGAGGAAGGACGGCACCUUCGGCUCCCUGUAAUACAUACUGCCGCUGGGAGGAAGGACGGCACCUUCGGCUCCCUGUGAUACAUACUGCCGCUGGGGAGGAAGGACAGCACCUUUGGCUCCCUGUGAUACAUACUGCCGCUGGGGAUCUGGGCCGACCACCCAGCAUCCCUGUAGGGCCGGUAGAGAGACCGCCGUCCCAUCUCCACCUGCCAUCUGUGGGUCUUCCCAGGACCAGUCUGUGAGGUCCCUCAACAUUUGCGAGUAAGGACCACCUGCUUCCGCACCUGGCAACUCCGGCUGCUGUUGGGGAUCUGGGCCGGCUGCCCAGCAUCCCGGUGGGCUGGUGGAGAGACCUCGGUCCAAUCUCCACCUGCCUGUUGUGGCUCCUCACAGGACCAGUCUAUAAGGACCCCUACUUCGGGUUUCUCCGGCCGCCUCAGGGGGAGACGGCUAACCUCCUCGGAUGCAGCCUCUACUCGGCUGCUGUAACACUUCUUCCACUGAGCAUACUCUCUCUCUUUCGCCAGCCGGAAUUCUCGGUCCAGCCUUGUGUUUCACUCGGCCGUGACCUGGUUCCAGAUCGCUUGGCGUAUCUCCAUGGUUACAUCAUCCCCUUACUGGGCCACUCGCUGCCUCACCUCGGCCAGGACGCCAUCUCACCGCUUGCCACCAAUUGUAGCGGCACCCCCAGGCAUAAAAGGGGUUUAGGAGAUAUUCCCCUUGGAGAUACACAGGCAGCUACCAAAGACACCAAUCCGCCGAACAGGAAACCAUAUGAAUGCCGUAAACAGCCGAAUAGGAAAAACCAUACCAAUAGGUUUACACUCCUAGCAGUCGAACUGGAACCGCAUACAAUAAAUCCCCCCAAGAACGAGACAAGGCUCUGUUCCUGCUGAGCCUCCUAGUUUAAAUACAUCCUAGCAACACCUCUUAACUGCUCACUGAGAACAUGUGUUCCCUUUUGAGAAAGAUGCAAACUAUCUUUUUUGUACAGUUUAUUUCCAUUCCAAACAGAGCUACCAUGAGAAAUGAAGCCAAAUCCUUGCUCCCGACACCAUUCACCAAGCCACAAAUUAAAGUCCCUAAUACGCAUCCGCCUGUCGUUCUGAGUGUUAUGCACAGGCAGAACUGCAGAGAAUGACCGUGUGGAAGCAACCUGCCGUAUAUCAUUGGCAAAAACACUAAAAACUUCCUCUAUCUCUGAAACCUCAUUGCAAGCCAAGUCAUUUGUCCCUAGAUGGACAAGUACAUCCAAUUCCCCUUCCUGCUUUGCUCGCUUAACAAUAUUACAAAUACGUCUCCUGUCUCUGUGAGCAUUACCUCCGGGAAGACAUCUCACAAGACCACCAUUGUCCAGCUCCACACCUCUUAUGAUAGAAUCCCCCAACAACAACUGCUUUCUAUUAGGCCUCACCAUAGUCUCCAAGCCUGUCUUCAAACCACCACUACCCCAUGAGCCUGUCUCCAAAACACCACUACCCUCAGUGCCUGAGCCUGUCUCCAAAACACCACUACCCUCAGUGCCUGUGUAACCGCAGGUGGUUCCCUUAUUUACCACUAUAAUGUCUUAAAGCAUAGAACUUAGCAGGGCUAAUCAUACAGAUAUCUUAGCCAUAAUUUUAUAUAGUCAGUAAGAGAUCCUCUAUUUAACAUAUAUAAAUAAUUGAGAAUACAAUAUAAAAUAAAGAUUGUCUUGGAAGCAAUAGUUUUGUCUUUUUGGAUAUUUAUUAUAUAAAAAUAUAAAUAUAAAAUCCAUUAUAGCAGAGUUUAUAAGAUUAAAUUACAUGCUUGCAAAUAUCAUUAAUAGGUUAACAUACCCUUCUGAACAUGUCAUCAUGUCAGCCUCUCUGUCAUUUUAAGAUGGAGCAGCGUCUGUCUCCAAGUCUCUCCUCUGUGUCUUAACAUUUAAAAGUACACCUAUUUAUACCUUAGGUGUCUCCAUUUUAGAGUUACUGUAGUUCAUUUACUUUAUUCAUUUUAGGACCUCCCUUAAUUUGGCAAACAUACAAGGCCAUAACAGAAGGGUGCAUACGUCAUGGAAAUUUUCCGACUUAGUUCAAGAUGGCAUCUUAAAGUCUAAAUAGGUUAUCUGUUGUUUAUACUAAGUCGUAAGUGUACAGUCGUGGGAGAUUCCCGGAUUUGGGGAAGUUCCAUUAACUUGGGGUUACCACAGUAUAUUGUGUACUGCAAGAGUCGUAGUAUAGCCUUGAAGCUUGUUUAUGCAUUAUUGUUAUUGUAAUUCAUCUGGGACAAAAUGGCGCAAACAUAUUAUGCACUGAGGUUAUUGCUUAAAGAAACCGUUAUGAAAAACAAUAUGUUCCAUUUCUAACACCUUGUCAGUUUGCAAUAUCUCUUAAAGACAAAGUACACAGUUUAAGAAAUACAACAUUUCAUUCUAAAACUUGUAAUAUUUGCAUUUGCCCAUAACACCUGAGCCUGUCUCCAUAACACCAUUACACUCUGAAAGUGCAGAAAAUGAAUUGUGUAGAGCAACAGACCAUGCAAUAUGCCUUUUAUCCACAACUCUGUCUACGAGAUCCUACAGUAAUCCAUUUGCCAUUCCUGGUACGUCUCUGCGGCAGUGGCUUUGCAGCAGUUCCAGCCUGAGUUUGUUUACCAGAUAAUUUACAAAUCUCAGACUUCAAAAAUACAAUUUCCUGUCACAAUAUAGAGAACUGUCUACCGAUUAGACAGCAUCCAAAUCUCAGAAAAGUGAAACGUGAAACAAAUGCAUAACAACUAUUACACUGAACUAAGUCUGCCAUUUUUAUGAGGUGAAUAAUUAAAAUCAAACAAAUCUUAACUUUAUUUUUUUUGUCCUCCUAAAUAACUCCGUUUAUCUCCAGAAUAUCUCCAAUCACACACUUAGAAGCAGCACUUAGAUGAAGCAACCAAGCUUCAUAUAGGGGGCCCUUUCAUAUGUUAAUGGCCAGUAGCCUUGUGUUUCAGUAUCAUAUCCAAAAUAAACAUCAAUACUUUCCCACAGAAUAAUAAAGCCUUAUUUUUAUUAUAUUUAGAAAGGUUUAAGCACAAUCUUCUAAUCAAGCCUAAACAUGAUUUGCAUAACCUAACCAUACGGGAAGGGAUUGUGAUGUCCGCUAUAUUGGUUCACAAGUAAGGAGUGUGACAUAACUAUAUGGAAUGGAAAAAUGGUAACAAAUUCAUAGAUGCAAUUAUUAUUCAUGUGGCAAGUACAUAAGAGGAGAUACAGGGGGUUGUCACUUACAGUUACUAUAAGUACACCAUAUCUCCACCUCUAGGCGAGUCUUGGUAAUCCACAGGGUAUAUAUCUAAUGAUACUGAAGUGUUAUUGUACUUGCUUGGGUCCAAAAUCUAAUUUUGCGUGAGUCACCAUCUUCCUUGCCAGAGACCACCUGGGCAGAAGCUUUACUUUGAAAACCUGAGUAAGUGAUUAGGACUUCUGUUAUUUUAUCCCUUUUGUUUUUGUUUUUUUUUAAAUCUGUUGUUGGUGUAACUAAAUUGAUUGUCAUCUAUAUUUUUGUAUGUACUGUGACUAUUUUUUGCUCAUAAUAAAUAUUCCUUUAUUAAGUUCUGCCUUUGUCUGGUAAAGAAUCACAUUACCUGAAGAGACUGAGUGUUUUGCAAUUACAUAGAUAUUGUGCCAAGUAAUAUUUGGUGGAUUUUUAUUAUUGAUUUACCUGGGGGACAAAGGCACCCCAUUUAUAAAUUGUCUUGGUGAUGACAGUGUUAAAAAAGUAAUGUUUAUAUUAUUAUGGUUAAGUGUGGGUGGUGUUAAGUGGAAUUUUUGUCAUUAUUUCCGGUCUACUGCAGACAAAUAGUGCACUUUAACCCUUUCACCACCACGACUACAUCACGAACACUCUUGAAUUUGUCACGAACGCACCCUACUUCAGGAGUGUGCUUGACAUAGUUUUGGUGAUGAAAGGGUUAAAGUUCACUAUUUGUCUGCACUAGACCAGAAAUAAUGACAAAGUUCCCCUUAGCACCACCCACACUUAACCAUAAUAAUAUAAAUAUUACUAUUUUAACGUUGCCACCACCAAGACAAUUUAUAAAUGGGGUGCCUUUGUCCCCUAGGUAACUUAAUAUAAAACCCACCAUAUACAACUUUGCACAAUACAUAUGCAAUUGCAAAACACUCAUUAAUUAGUCUCUUCAGGUAAUGUGAUUCUUUACCAGACAAAGGCAGAACUUAAAGGGGCACUAAAGUCACCAGAACAACUACAGCUUAAUGUAGUUGUUUUGGUAAGUAUAUUAAUUAUAUGCAGGCAUUUUCAUGAAAACCCUGCCUUUUCAGAGAAAAGGCAGUGUUUACAUUGCGCCUAGGAGCACCUCCAAGUUGCCAGUCCUCAGAUUGCCACCGGAGGUGCUUCCUGGCUCAGUUCUGCACAGUAGGCAGCUCUGCUGUUCAGCGUCUCCACGCUCUGCAUGGCGACGCUGAAUUUUCCUCAUAGAGAUGUAUUGAUUCAGUGCAUCUCUAUGAGGAGGUGCUGAUUGGCCAAAAUGGCAUUUUGCCCCGGCUGAUUUUAGCCAAUUUAAUGCUUUACCUAUGGGGACCUCCUUACUUGUGACCCAAUAUAGCGGACAUCACAAUCCCUUCCCAUAUGAUUGGGUUACUAACGCAACUCAUGGCUUGAUUAGAAGAUUGUGCUUGUCCCAUUCUAAAUAAAAUAAAAAUAAAGUUUAAUUAUUAAUCUGUGGGUAAGUAUUAAUGUUUCUCUUGGAUAUGAUACUGGAACACAAGCCUACUGGCCAUUAACAUAUCAAAGGACCCCCAAUCUAAGAGGGAAUCUAGACAUAUGGCAAAUUAGAGAGUUUGUGUAUAAUUAAAGGACCACUAUAUGCACCCAGACCACUUCAGCUUAAUGAAGUGGUCUGGGUGCCAGGUCCAGCUAGGGUUAACCCCUUUUUUUUAUAAACAUAGCAGUUUCAGAGAAACUGCUAUGUUUAUGUUAGGGUUAAUCCAGCCUCCAGUGGCUGUCUCUUGACAGCCGCUAGAGGCGCUUGCGUGCUUCUCACUGGGAAAAUCACAGUGAGAAGACGCCAGCGUCCAUAGGAAAGCAUUGAGAAUGCUUUCCUAUGGACUGGCUGAAUGCGUGCGCGAAUCCUGCCGCGCAUGCGCAUUCAGCCGAAGAGGAGGAGGAGAGCUCCCCGCCCGGUGCUGGAAAAAGAAGUUGAACCCCUUCCUCGCCAUCCAGCCCGGCAGGAGGGGGACCCUGAAGGUGGGGGCACCCUCAGGGCACUAUAGUGCUAGGAAAACUAGUAUGUUUUCCUGGCACUAUAGUGGUCCUUUAAACCAGACUUCCAGGCCACUUAUGAGUGACUUCCCACACCUUACAGAGUAGCUCUGUUGGGGUCCCAGCCUCAAAGAGGAAUUUAGGCUGUAAACCUUCUGCCCUCCUGUAACGGAACCGCUGGCACCCCGACCGGGUACCUUCCGCUGACGGAUGCUCCUAGUGCUUUCCGAGGACUCCAAGCACUCUGCCUGACACCAUAACCACUGCAGACCCCACGAACCGCCGCAGCUUGGUUGGGGUCUCGCCGUCUCCACCCACUCUGGACCCAGGACCAGGGUCCAGCUUCCAGCAGGUCGGCCUCUCUCCGAAUUCCAGAGAGCAGGAACAGGAACAAGCUCUUAGCAGAGCUUAGUGAUUAUACCCUGGGGAGUAUAGUGAUUAUAGCAAUCCCCAGAGUGUCAUUUCUCCAAUCCCCCAAACAUGAGCCGAAACUUCAUUAAGGUACAAGAUGAUCUGACUCCAAUGAGCGUUUAUUACUCCUUAUAUACAAGUUUUCAGGUCAGAGGCACACCCCUUGGACCUGGUGGUAAACUGUGACAAAAGGGACACAAACCAAUGGGAACACUAAUUAACAUGAUAACACUCUCACAUACACAAUGAAAUCCCUCCUCUCCAUCCUGGAGAUAAUUGGUUUAAGGCACUGCAGUAAACUCAAUUAUCUCCAGGUACAGAAAAUAUCUACAUUUAACACUAACAGCAAAAUACGUAAAAGUACAUAAAAAUACAUAAUUCUUAUUUUAUUACACAGAACCCCCACAUUUAACCUAUCCCCAGAUUGGGCGCUCAGAUCCGAGCUCCCAAUCUAGGUGAACAGUGCUCAGAUCCCAUGAACAGAGUAGAUUUUCCACGGGGUAAAGCAUAGCAAGGGCUGUUGAGAAACCAAGGAGGGACAAAAGCAGUCAGUUCCAACUGGUUUGGCAGUGUGCCUGGGACAACGCCCUGCUGGAGAACAAUAGACAGGAAACGGGGGAGGGGAAGAAACACACCUUCCCAUGGAUUCAAAUGGGAAGAAACUGUCUUUAGAAGCCAAUAAGCCCCAAAUAGUCUUUUUAAAUGGCAAUACACCCCAGGGCCAUAGUCAUGAGGAAGGAGGCUGGCAAUCAGGCUCCUCCAAAAGCCGGGGGCAAAGGGCAGCUUGUCACCUAACAAUCCAGGGACAAAAUGCAUUUCAUCACACCUCCCAUACAAUCAAAUUAACCCCUUUUGGAAUCGACAAUAUCACCUCUACCAAGCAGUCAGUUUAUCUAUGCACUACACAAAUUACAAUAAAUCAAAAUAUUCCAUAGUGCAACAAUGAAUUAUCCACCCUUGCCGUGACACUGUGUGCAUGCCUGUAAGGGAAAGCCUAGAUCUCCUCUCCUUACCUGCCACACUCUCUCUCUUUUUUUCUUUUUUUUUAACGUGGCUUUUAUUAUUUCAAAAAAGAUACAAGUUACAUUUUAAAAUAAAAUAAAGGUAUCGUAAAAAAGGUUUGGAGUAACAGUUAACUCUUUUACAUACUUUACUUUAAGGUUUUUUAUUUUUUUGUAAUAUUUUAUUAAUGAUGCUGAUUAGGUUUGUUUUCUUUCACAGGUAAUAUUUACCCCGUAAUACAUUUAAAAGCUUUUGCUGUGAUAUGGCUAGCCCAAAAACAGCUGAAAAUGGAAAGACCGAAAGUGCAAAAAAACCCCACAGUGAUCAUGGUAAAAUGACUAAAAAAAAAUCAUCUAAGGUAGACUGUAAUAAAAUAGCGACCACUCAGAGGCCUGCAUGUAUGGAAGCUGAGAUUGGUUUUCCUAAAUUCCCAAAGUAUCACAAAGCAAAUAAACGGUAUAAAUGCCCAGAUUGUGGGAAAUGGUUUUCUAAUGGCUCACAUUUUGAACAGCACCAGAAAACCCAUUCAGGAGAGACUUUGUAUACAUGCUACGAAUGUGGAAAACAAUUUUCCCGGAAGAGUAAACUUGACCUGCACCAGAAAACACACACAAGACAGUUUAAAGCUACAGUGAAGUCAAAAUCAUUGAAGAGGAGCAAACUAAACCUGGAAUGACCUGACUGAACUCAGGAUUGUUGUAAUUAAAUUUUUGAUUCAAUUAAAGUAUUUUUUUCAUAAUACUCUGGUUAAUUCUAUGAGCUUAAUUUGGUGUAAUAUAAAUGAGCCUGCUCUUAGUCAUCAACACACUUGUUGCUGAUAAAUCUCUCUAGAGAUGUUACAGGUCUAAAGAAGUUGCCAUUCGUGGAAAGUUGGAUUAUGCAUGCUUGAAAAUUUAAGCACAAUGCAACGUCACUGACAUCCUACGGCGCAUGGCAACAGUGGACGCACAUUAUCCUGUGGAUGCCUGGCAAUGAGCAUUGCAUAGACACUAGCUUAGGGUAUGUCUGCAGUUUCUUCCCACUAAACUCCCAUCAGUAGAAAGGACAGUAGACCUCCAGCUAGUAAAAGCUACAGCACAGAAUUUGCAUUUCCAUGUGUGGCUGGGGAAAAUAACAGGUUCUCCACCUGCUGGCUAACAAAAACCAUCGCGAAUAUUUGGUAGUAAGUAUUUUACUG